CACAAAGGUACUCGACCAUUCUCUCUCCUUUUUUUUUUUUAACGGGUUUCUACAUUCUCCCCCUCCUUAAUAGAAUUCGUUCUCGAAUUCUUGGUUGCGCAGUUGCUCGUCUUCACAACAUUCUCCACUCAUCUCCAUAACCUCUUUACGCUGUCCACCACAGUUCCUUGAGUGUCCUCUUCAAGGCCUCCACACAAUUGUCUUCAUAUCUCUUCACUUGAAUGAUCACUGAGUCAUCCUCUUUCUUUUACUCUGCCAUAACACACUCAUUGCCCUGAUACGAUCUUGUCCAUGCUUGUUCCUGAUUACUCCAACCACUUUCUCGAUA
rnacentral:lncRNA from 1 species